CGGGGAAGUCAGAGAGCUUGAUGUGGUGUAGUUCCUCUUCUUCGAUCUCUCCAUCAUCGUCCUCUUCUUUCUCGUGCUCGGUUAUCAGAAGAUUGGGAUUGUUUUGGACCUUGUGGAGAUGAUAGCUCAUGCGUUCGACCUCUAUCACGACGUCGCUUGGCAACCCAGUGGUGCAAAACCAAGCCUGUCCUCUGGAACCAAGCUUCUCGUCCGCCAUUGCCCCUUCUCCUUCUCAACCCUAACCCUAGUUCAUGCUCUCAGCUUUACUUAAUUACCAGAGCAUCUCUCACAGACAUUGCGGGAAGAGUGGAUAGACAAAGGACAUUCAGAGCUCAUAAAUUUUCCAUCUACCAUGAUGAAGUGCAUUGAAAGUGGAGGAAAGGAGUGUUCAAACAGGACCUUUGAAAAAGGUCAGUGGUAUCUUUCUUCAUCGACUGCUACACUGUCCAUUUCUUUAGGGCUUAAAUGAUGCAUGUUUGCUGUUUUUUCAUAUCUAGGGAUAUGAGAUGCUACUGGCCUAUAUAUAUAGUGGUAGCUUAUACUUUUGUGGUUUAUUUGUGCUAGAGUGUUAUUAUUGAUAAUUAUAGAAGGUAUAGUGAUGAUUUGUAAUUUUGUAUAUAAUAGAUAAUGAUUGCAAUCUUCUUUUUACAAUCAGUUUCUAAGUACAGUUAUUGUAUAUAAAAAAAAUUUAUUUU